CGUAUUAUGCUUCGUAAACUGAGCGGAUCCAUUGAUAUUUUUCUUCCCUUUAGAUUCAGUUCAUUAAAGUUACAAAACAUCGACUUAUGAAUAUGUACUUUAUUUAAUUUCUUAGUUUAUUUUUCUGUUCAAGAAUGACAGAAUAAGAAUGCAAGUAUGUACCGAAACUCAUUCUAAACUUGGUCUGGAUACCUCGUUUAUUAAAAGUGGCACAUUUCGAAAAAAGCUGUUUCUAGCAGUGUGCACAGCGAUAGUAGUUCUCUUUCUGAUACUGAUGGAUAUGUUUCCUUUAAUAUGGAAAACACAAGGGAAAGGCUACUAUGCAAAACCAUCAUUGAAAUGCACUAAUAACAGUAAAAGUACUAUUCGUGUACUGUGCCUCAUCUUAGCAUCAGCAUAUAAAAGCAGGCAGAUGGCAGCAAUAGAAAACACUUGGGCAAAACGUUGUGAUAAGUACCUUUUUAUCAAUGGGCAGACGAACAAUCCACAAAUAGCUGAAACAAUUUUAAAUGUUCCGGUUCUAGAGGAGAGACGUCACCUGACAAUGAAGAUGCGUCAUGCGUUUAAAUAUGUGUACAGAGCAUAUAAAGGCAGUUUUGAUUGGAUAUUAAAAUGUGAUACUGACACCUAUGUUGUUAUGGAAAAUCUUCGGAACCUCCUAUCACACGUCGACCCAUUUCAACCAGGAUACCUAGGUUUUCAUAUGAAGGCAUGGAGAAAUCAUCGUUAUGGUUACAUGAGUGGAGGAGGCGGUUAUGCAAUUAGCUGGCAAGGUUUUCAUCAGUUAAUACAUAAGGGAUUUAAAAACGGCUGCGGUGAGGAAGAUGGUUCAAGUGAGGAUCUCAACAUUGGCUUAUGUUUAGGUGACUCUGACGUACCCGUCUUAAACUCACGUGAUAAGGACGGAAAAGAAACAUUUCAUCCAGCAAACAUACAACGUCUUUUACGUCCACCUCAUCCAAGACCAAUCAGAAAUAGGGCUUGGAAUAAAGUCAGAUUUGUCAAAUAUUGAACAAGGAUCAGAAUAAAGAAGAGCCUUAGAUCAUGUGUGAAAGGAAGAAAGGAAACUUUGGAAGUGCACUCCUUCUGAAACAAAUAACUACAGCAAAAAUGGCUUGGACUGCUGUAGCAAAUAUUCUAUUAGUUUUCACAGAGUUUCAAUUGCUGGCCAUUUUCUGUUCGAACAGUUGUUGUAUAAGACAAAGGUGUAUAACUGGGAAUAUUGUAAAGACACACUUUCUGAGUUUAAUCCACACAUUGUUAAACCCGCUAGUUAGGAUCAAUACAGAUUUCGACUAUUUUAUGUGUACAAUUACAAAUAAAUAAAGGUAUCAUA
rnacentral:misc_RNA from 1 species